AUACGUAGGGUGCAAGCGUUAAUCGGAAUUACUGGGCGUAAAGCGUGCGCAGGCGGUUUUGUAAGACAGUGGUGAAAUCCCCGGGCUCAACCUGGGAACUGCCAUUGUGACUGCAAGGCUGGAGUGCGGCAGAGGGGGAUGGAAUUCCGCGUGUAGCAGUGAAAUGCGUAGAUAUGCGGAGGAACACCGAUGGCGAAGGCAAUCCCCGGGGCCUGCACUGACGCUCAUGCACGAAAGCGUGGGGAGCAAACAGGAUUAGAUACCCUGGUAGUCCACGCCCUAAACGAUGUCAACUGGUUGUUGGGUCUUCAUUGACUCAGUAACGAAGCUAACGCGUGAAGUUGACCGCCUGGGGAGUACGGCCGCAAGGUUGAAACUUAAAGGAAUUGACGGGG
rnacentral:rRNA from 1 species